GUGUGGUUUCAUUUCUGGUUGCAGCACUGAGCAGUGUGCUGCAUCCACUCAACUGCACACAGAGUGAAACUGGUUCCUGCCGACAGGAACCCAAAAGGCAUGGGGUGUCCUGUGCGAUGGUUCCGUACAUG